GCCCCUAAGUCUGGGAUACCAUUUGGAAACAGGUGCUAGUACCGGAUAAUAAAGCAGAUCGCAUGAUCAGCUUUUGAAAGGCGGCGUAAGCUGUCGCUAAGGGAUGGCCCCGCGGUGCAUUAGCUAGUUGGUAAGGUAACGGCUUACCAAGGCGACGAUGCAUAGCCGAGUUGAGAGACUGAUCGGCCACAUUGGGACUGAGACACGGCCCAAACUCCUACGGGAGGCAGCAGUAGGGAAUCUUCCACAAUGGACGCAAGUCUGAUGGAGCAACGCCGCGUGAGUGAAGAAGGUUUUCGGAUCGUAAAGCUCUGUUGUUGGUGAAGAAGGAUAGAGGUAGUAACUGGCCUUUAUUUGACGGUAAUCAACCAGAAAGUCACGGCUAACUACGUGCCAGCAGCCGCGGUAAUACGUAGGUGGCAAGCGUUGUCCGGAUUUAUUGGGCGUAAAGCGAGCGCAGGCGGAAAAAUAAGUCUAAUGUGAAAGCCCUCGGCUUAACCGAGGAGCUGCAUCGGAAACUGUUUUUCUUGAGUGCAGAAGAGGAGAGUGGACUCCAUGUGUAGCGGUGGAAUGCGUAGAUAUAUGGAAGAACACCAGUGGCGAAGGCGGCUCUCUGGUCUGCAACUGACGCUGAGGCUCGAA
rnacentral:rRNA from 1 species